UUAUUAAUAUAUAUAUAUAUAUAUAUAUAAUAAAAUAUUAAAAAUAAUUUUAAAUUAAUAAAUUUUAGUAAUUUUUAAAAAAAAAUGUUUUAAUUAUUAGUAAUGAAAAUGUUAUAAAAAAAAAUUUUAAAUAAAGAAAUUAAUUAUUAAUUUUAUUUACCUUUUGUAUCAGUGUUGAUUAAAAUUAUAUUAAAAUUUAAUUAAAUCUCGAAUUAAUAAGAUUUAAAUAUUUAAUAUUUUUAAUGUAUAAUAAUUAUUUUAAAUAAAUAUUUAGAGGAGAAAUUUUUUUCAAUUAUUAAGAUAUCUAGUUUUUUAAUAAUUGAAUUUAAUUCAGAUAAUUAAUUUUAAAUAAAAUUAUAUAAUAAAUUUUUAAUUAUUACAAUUUUUAGGGAUAAACUUAAAAAUUUUUUUAUAAUAUUAAUAUUUUAUAAAAAUAAUAUAAUUAAAAAUAUUAAUUUAUAAUAAUAAUGUUAUAAUUUAUUUAUAAAAAAAUUUAAUAAAAAUGAAAUUUAAUUAAUUAUUAAAAUAAUUUUUUAAAUAAAAAAAAAUUUAAAAUAAUGAUUUAAAUUAGUAUGAAUUUAUAUUUAUAAUAUAAAUUAAUUAUAAUAAUUAAAUUAUAAUAAUUAGGCAAAUUAAAUUUAAUUAUGAAAUAUUCACCUGUUUAUCAAAAACAUGGUUUUAUGAAUUUAAUAUAAAAUCUGACCUGCUCAAUGAAUUUUUAAAUAGCUGCAGUAUACUAACUGUACAAAGGUAGCAAAAUCAAUAGUUUUUUAAUUGAAAGCUUGUAUGAAUGGUUUGAUGAAAUAUAAACUUUUUUUAAUUUAAAAUUUAGAAUUUUUUUAUUAGUAAAAAAACUAAUAUAAUAUUAAAAGACGAGAAGACCCUAUAGAAUUUUAUUAAUUUAUUAAUAAUAUAAAUUUAUUUUAAUUAAUUUAUUAAUAAUUUAAUUUAGUUGGGGUGAUUAUUAAAUUUAUUUAACUUUAAUUAUAUAAAUAUUUAAAUUAAAAAGUUUAUGAUCUUUAAUUUAAGAUAAAAAGAAUAAAUUACCUUAGGGAUAACAGGAUAAUUUUUUUGGAGAGAUCAUAUUGAUAAAAAAGAUUAUUACCUCGAUGUUGAAUUAAGAUAAAAUUUAAAAGGAAAAUUUUAAUAAUUUUAGUCUGUUCGACUAUUAAAAUCUUACAUGAUUUGAGUUCAAAUCGGCGUGAGCCAGAUUGGUUUCUAUCUUUAAUUAUAAAUUAUAUAUUUGUACGAAAGGACUUUAUAUAAUAAAAAUUUUAUUAAUUUGAAUAAAUUU
rnacentral:rRNA from 1 species